CCUACGGGCGGCAGCAGUCGAGAAUCAUUCACAAUGGGGGAAACCCUGAUGGUGCGACGCCGCGUGAGGGAAGAAGGUUUUCGGAUUGUAAACCUCUGUGGAGGGGGACGAUAAUGACGGUACCCCUUUAGGAAGCCACGGCUAACUACGUGCCAGCAGCUGCGGUAAUACGUAGGUGGCGAGCGUUGUCCGGAAUUACUGGGUGUAAAGGGAGUGUAGGCGGGAAAGCAAGUCAGAAGUGAAAACUAUGGGCUUAACCCAUAGCCUGCUUUUGAAACUGUUUUUCUUGAGUGAAGUAGAGGCAAGCGGAAUUCCUAGUGUAGCGGUGAAAUGCGUAGAUAUUAGGAGGAACACCAGUGGCGAAGGCGGCUUGCUGGGCUUUUACUGACGCUGAGGCUCGAAAGCGUGGGGAGCAAACAGGAUUAGAUACCCUAGUAGUC
rnacentral:rRNA from 1 species